AUUGAACGCUGGCGGCAGGCUUAACACAUGCAAGUCGGACGGUAACAGGGAGGAAGCUUGCUUUCUUUGCUGACGAGUGGCGGACGGGUGAGUAAUGCUUGGGAAUCUGUUUUAUGGAGGGGGAUAACUACGGGAAACUGUAGCUAAUACCGCGUAAUAUCGAGAGAUUAAAGUGUGGGACCGUAAGGCCACAUGCCAUAGAGUGAGCCCAAGUGGGAUUAGGUAGUUGGUGGGGUAAAGGCCUACCAAGCCGUCGAUCUCUAGCUGGUCUGAGAGGAUGACCAGCCACACUGGGACUGAGACACGGCCCAGACUCCUACGGGAGGCAGCAGUGGGGAAUAUUGCACAAUGGGCGCAAGCCUGAUGCAGCCAUGCCGCGUGAAUGAAGAAGGCCUUCGGGUUGUAAAGUUCUUUCGGUGGUGAGGAAGGUUGUAAUGUUAAUAGCAUUAUAAUUUGACGUUAGCCACAGAAGAAGCACCGGCUAACUCCGUGCCAGCAGCCGCGGUAAUACGGAGGGUGCGAGCGUUAAUCGGAAUAACUGGGCGUAAGGGCACGCAGGCGGAUACUUAAGUGAGGUGUGAAAGCCCUGGGCUUAACCUAGGAAUUGCAUUUCAUACUGGGUAUCUAGAGUAUUUUAGGGAGGGGUAGAAUUCCACGUGUAGCGGUGAAAUGCGUAGAGAUGUGGAGGAAUACCGAAGCGAAGGCAGCCCCCUGGGGGAAUACUGACGCUCAUGUGCGAAAGCGUGGGGAGCAAACAGG
rnacentral:rRNA from 1 species